CCCUUAGAUGUUCUGGGCCGCACGCGCGCUACACUGAUACAUGCAACGAGUUUAUAACCUUGAUCUGACGGUCUGGGUAAUCUUCAAACUGUAUCGUGUUAGGGAUCGAUUCUUGCAAUUUUUAAUCGUAAACGAGGAAUUCCUAGUAAACGCAAGUCAUCAGCUUGCAUUGAUUACGUCCCUGCCCUUUGUACACACCGCCCGUCGACUCUACCGAUUGAAUGGUUCGGUGAAAACUUUGGACUGUGGCAUUGUCCUUCAUCGGACUUCGCCGUAGGAAAUUGUUUAAACCUCAUCAUUUAGAGGAAGAAUAAGUCGUAACA
rnacentral:rRNA from 1 species